GUAGCCUGUAUCAAAGAUUUUUGUCGCACCAGGCAUGAUGUUUAGCGCAGCGCCAAAUGUUGAUUUAGAUUAGCAAAAUACUUUCAUUUCCGGUAACAUUCCAGUAAAUCCUUGGCCCUGAUCGAGCACCGCCGAGCCGGACACCUCCCCAUGGGAAACAUGGAGGCUGCAGCCGAGGAGCUGCUGGCCGGCUCUCGGCUACCUGUCACAAUCGAUCAAAUCAUUAACGAUACGCUAUUGGUGAUGCUGACCUAUCGAGAUAGGAGCUAUACGGGGACACUACUUGACUGCAACAAAAAGCACACAAAUGCUGAGCUCCACUGACACAUUGAAAUCACCAGCAGUUAAAACCAGCUCAUUAUUUAUUUGACGAGUGUAACAGACAAUAGACUGCAGAGCCAUAUCUCCAUCCAGACCCUCGGUUGCAACAUUUUUAAAGGCUAUGAGAGGUGCUGCUUUGAUUGGCGGUGACUGAAGUCAGCUGUAAACACUCCUACAGUGGUGCGGGGGAGUCUACAAGCUUACCAACACUGGUCUAACCCACCCCCUGGCAAACAGUUGUGACACCCACCACACCAGAAUCGAGCAGGUCACUAAAAUACAAAAUGUUUGUUGUGUUGAUUUUUUUUUUUUUUACCAUUUCUGAUUUCCUGCUUUUUUAUGAUGUGGCUAAAACAGCUGUCCAGUCCCUCAUGUACCAUGAUAUAAAAAAUCUAGAAAAAUGAGUGUGACAGAAUGGGUUUGCUGUUUUUAUCGAAACCCCAGUUAAGUAGCCAACAUGCCAGACUAAUACAUAUUGCACAGAUAUAUACUGUAAAUAAGAGAUGAGAAAUGACACCUCUGCUGCUGACAGGGAGAAAAAGGUUGAGUCUGUUAGGUCAAUGUCUUCUGGCUCUGAAUUUGAUUUUUUCUCUUGUGGCUCAAAUACCGAAGGGAUGUGUAAGCAUAAGAAACUUGAUUGAUCAUGAAGAAUCCAUUGUUCAAGGCAUGGUAAUAACACUUGAUUGGCAAUUGAGUGGGGCAUUGUUUCAGUGCAUUCAGCAGACACACAGUAUACAAAAUAAGGUAUGUGCUUUGAAACAGUGCGGUUUCAGAGCAGAUACGAAGAGUUUGUUUUCAAAACGAGA